rnacentral:lncRNA from 1 species
UAUAAGAGACUUAACCAAUCUACUUUUGUAGGGGCAUCCACUUUUGAAGAAGCUGAAUACUAGUUAGCAAAGAUAGAGAAGACAUUCGCGACCCUUGGAGUAGUUCCUUGACAAAAGGUUGUCAUUGCCCCUUAUAUGCACGUAGGUGAGGCAGGGCGUUGGUGAUAACUUAAGCAGGCUACUUUAACACUCAAGUCACCUAGGA